rnacentral:rRNA from 1 species
CGGACGGGUGAGUAACGCGUGGGUAACCUGCCUUGUACUGGGGGACAACAGUUGGAAACGACUGCUAAUACCGCAUAAGCGCACAGCUUCGCAUGAAGCAGUGUGAAAAACUCCGGUGGUACAAGAUGGACCCGCGUCUGAUUAGCUGGUUGGUGAGGUAACGGCCCACCAAGGCGACGAUCAGUAGCCGGCCUGAGAGGGUGAACGGCCACAUUGGGACUGAGACACGGCCCAA